rnacentral:rRNA from 1 species
GAGGAAUAUUGGUCAAUGGGCGUUAGCCUGAACCAGCCAUCCCGCGUGCAGGAUGACAGCCCUAUGGGUUGUAAACUGCUUUUCUACGUGAAGAAAGGGCUCUACGCGUAGGGCAUUGACAGUAUUGUAGGAAUAAGCAUCGGCUAACUCCGUGCCAGCAGCCGCGGUAAUACGGAGGAUGCAAGCGUUAUCCGGAUUUAUUGGGUUUAAAGGGUGCGCAGGCGGGUUUGUAAGUCAGUGGUGAAAAACUGCCGCUUAACGGUAGUCUUGCCAUUGAUACUGCAAGUCUUGAGUUUGGUCGAGGUAGGCGGAAUGUGCAGUGUAGCGGUGAAAUGCAUAGAUAUUGCACGGAACACCAAUUGCGAAGGCAGCUUACUAAACCAUUACUGACGCUUAGGCACGAAAGCGUGGGGAGCAAAC